rnacentral:rRNA from 1 species
ACGCUCGACACCUACGGGAGCAGCAGUGGGGAAUAUUGCACAAUGGGGGAAACCCGUGAUGCAGCGACGCCGCGUGAGCGAAGAAGUAUCUCGGUAUGUAAAGCUCUAUCAGCAGGGAAGAAGAUGACGGUACCUGACUAAGAAGCACCGGCUAAAUACGUGCUAGCAGCCGCGGUAAUCUGAGCGGGCUGGCAAGGC